rnacentral:pre_miRNA from 1 species
UUGUACACUCUAGGCUUUCAUUCAUUGUCGCACACUCAGUGAAGGCCUACUGUGUGCCAGG